GACGAACGCUGGCGGCGUGCUUAACACAUGCAAGUCGAACGGAAAGGCCCUGCUUUUGUGGGGUGCUCGAGUGGCGAACGGGUGAGUAACACGUGAGUAACCUGCCCUUGACUUUGGGAUAACUUCAGGAAACUGGGGCUAAUACCGGAUAGGAGCUCCUGCUGCAUGGUGGGGGUUGGAAAGUUUCGGCGGUUGGGGAUGGACUCGCGGCUUAUCAGCUUGUUGGUGGGGUAGUGGCUUACCAAGGCUUUGACGGGUAGCCGGCCUGAGAGGGUGACAGGCCACAUUGGGACUGAGAUACGGCCCAGACCAGUACGGGAGGCAGCGGUGGGGAAGAUUACACAAUGGGAGGAAGCAUGAUGCAGCAACGCCGCGUCCGGGAUGACGGCCUUCGGGUUGUAAACCGCUUUCGCCUGUGACGAGGAGUGAGUGACGGUAAUGGGUAAAGAAGCACCGGCUAACUACGUG
rnacentral:rRNA from 1 species